rnacentral:rRNA from 1 species
GACAGAGGGUGCAAACGUUGUUCGGAAUUACUGGGCGUAAAGCGCGUGUAGGCGGCUUGGCAAGUCGGGUGUGAAAGCCCUGGGCUCAACCUAGGAAGUGCACUCGAAACUGCGUAGCUAGAGUCCUGGAGAGGAAGGUGGAAUGCUUGGUGUAGAGGUGAAAUUCGUAGAUAUCAAGCGGAACACCGGUGGCGAAGGCGGCCUUCUGGACAGUGACUGACGCUGAGAUGCGAAAGCGUGGGGAGCAAACAGG